AACCCAUGAUGAGGACACUUCUUGAGUAGUCCCUUGAACUCUGCCCAUGUUUCGUAAAGAGAUUCUCUCUCUUUCUGUUCAAAAGCAGAGAUAUCAGCCUUAAGCUU